CCUGGUGAUUAUGGUGGAGGUGGUAUACCCGUUCCCUUUCCGAACACGGAAGUCAAGCCCUCUCACGCCGAUGAUACUGCCCUAGGGUGGGAAAGUAGGUCAUCACCAGGC
rnacentral:rRNA from 1 species